rnacentral:tRNA from 1 species
GCGCCGGUGGUGUAAAGGCGUAGAGCAUUCAAGCCCGGUCAGAGGGAGGUGCGGGUUCGAGUCCCGCCUGGCGCU